rnacentral:lncRNA from 1 species
CCUCCUCCCCUCAGGGUCCUGGAUUUUCCUCUCUGCAGUCCCAGGGAAGGGAGAAAAUGAUAAAAAAUCCCAAAAUGCUGUUGUCCUUCCCCCUCUGGUGGUUCCCUUCAGAUGUGUCGACCCCUUCAUUUCCAUUUAUUUUAGCAGGAUGGCAAAACACCGAGAAAUAAAUGAAGUGGCAUGAGAUGCUGGUGGGGGCUCCAGAAUACAUAAAAAUAAAGGGGAAAAUAGCAGGAGGGAUCCGUGCUGGAAAACGUGAUGGCGUUUAUUCCCACCAUCACGGCCAGUCCUCUCCUCUGGGUGCCCAGAGCCCGGCCAUGGAGCCCUGUGUGGUGCUGGACCCGCGACAGAGAGCUCUGUAUCGCGACGUGAUGCAGCAUGGCUACGAGAUCCUGGUGGCCCUGGAAUUUUCUGUUCCCAAGCCUGACCUGCUGUCUUACCUGGACUGUGAGGAGGAAGUGACAGCCCUGGAUCUUCAUGUAUCCCGGGAUACCCCGGCCGCAGAGCAUGGAGCAGGAGCAGGGCAGGAAGAACCUGCUGAGGAAAAGCCCAACACGGACAAGGAGCACGCUCAGCUCCCAGUGAGCCAGGGCGAGACCCGCGCUGCCAACACCUGCAGCGAGCGCGGGAAGACCUUCAGCCACAAACCAGCCCCGGUGAAGCACCGGGAAAUCCACAGCGGCGACCGGGACUGCGGGAAGGGCUUCACGCAGCGCUCUGGCCUCCGCGUCCACGGGCGCGCGCACACGGGCGAGCGGCCCCACGGCUGCCCCCCCCCCCCCCCCCCCCCCCCCCCCCCCCCCCCCCCCCCCCCCCCCCCCCCCCCCCCCCCCCCCCCCCC